GACGGACGUAGCCGAACCCCGGCGACGUACGCGAGCACAGGACACACAAGAUGCUGGCAAAGGCAAAGGAUCAUGCCGGGAGCAGCUGCACAAGUUUCAUAUAACUAAACUGGAGCCACUUUCCACAUCGCUCUGCUGCCUACAAUUCCUCUGUGCCUUCCAGGCCCUAAGAAAUUGCUACUUCUUCACCUCUGAGACUGUCAAUCACAAGGCCCUACCUACCCUCUAUACCACAGAGGUGAGCAAUAGACUUAAUCAAGGCAAUUAAUUGGAAUGGCCCAAUCCUGUGCCCCAUUAACAGGUUCAUGGGUGGGCAAGGACCUGGCAGGGUUGGUCCCAGCCUUCCUGGGGGAGGGAUCAUGGUUAUACUGGAUAUAUUGCGGAGCAUGUGCUCAUUUGUUUAUUCUGAGGACGAUGUAAAUCUCAAGUUAUUGGUGGCCAUCUAUGAAAUUAAAAAACAAUUCAUCCAUUAAAGUUCCAUUCCAAUGAAGCCUCCUCCAUGAAACACGGUCCUUCCCUGCCUGCCUCUCACAUCAGCCAGAAGCUCUGCUUCCUGUCAGCCUGUGGUGCUCCCUUCACUGAGGUUAUUGGAGAUUUCUUCAGUUAGAGUUUAACCUCCUGGAGGGUGGGGGCUGUCUUAU